rnacentral:rRNA from 1 species
CAGCCGCCGCGGUAAUACGGAGGGAGCUAGCGUUGUUCGGAAUUACUGGGCGUAAAGCGCGCGUAGGCGGUUACUCAAGUCAGAGGUGAAAGCCCGGGGCUCAACCCCGGAACUGCCUUUGAAACUAGGUGACUAGAAUCUUGGAGAGGUCAGUGGAAUUCCGAGUGUAGAGGUGAAAUUCGUAGAUAUUCGGAAGAACACCAGUGGCGAAGGCGACUGACUGGACAAGUAUUGACGCUGAGGUGCGAAAGCGUGGGGAGCAAACAGGAUUAGAUACCCCUGUAGUCCCUGUCUCUUAUAA